CAGAACUGCAGACAGGCUAUUCCAGGCUAUCCCCAAACCCCACCCUGUAGAGAUCAGCUGUAGCUCCUCUGUGUUCAUUCGAACCCUCUGGCAUCUGCAAAUUCUCCCCCCGCCGCCCAUCUUCAACCUUACUGUAAACUGUUUGCGUGCAGUGCAGCUGGUCYUCAUGGCGGUUCAUUAGGCGGCGGGGUGAGCCGCAGGUGUUCCUGUUUGGGUUUGAUGCCUUGAAGCGCUCAGAGUUUCUUAUUUUUAGUCCCGUGGAAAACUCUGGGUCACUUGUGUGUUUAUUUACAUCCAGUGGCCAAUCAGACGGGCAGGUUUGUGUCAACAUGAACAGCCAGUUUCCUGUUAUUACCGACCACACGCACACAUUGAACUUGCUCCAGUUUAUCAGACUACAAAACCAGAACAGAGAUGCUGGACAUAAAGGAAGAAAAGGGCCAAAUGAAAAACAGAUACUUGAGGCACACUCACAUCUUGGAGGCAGAGAUCCAUCUUUUACCAGUCGAGAACCAUGGCCUCAGACURAGAGGAGAAGACUCAUCCUGUUCCCGCUGCAAACCAACCCAGUGAACGCUGAAGGCCACGGUCUGAACCUCAUCCAGUCCUGACGCCCUGCCACCAGUAAAUUCCUUGGGGACCUCUGCCAGAACGUUGGACCGACCUUUCCCUGAGUCUUCGAACUCUUCCUCCUCAGCAGUGGAUGUAGUGGUUGAGUUAAGAAGAUCCUCAAAAUCUAGAACAUCUCAGUCACCACUGCUGAAGAUGACAUGAAGAUACAGGCUACAUGGUGGAGUCAUCCUCAUCUGACAACUCCUGCUGUUCGUCACAUACAAAGCCAUAUUUUCAGUUAUGUUAUAUCUUCAGAUCACCUCAACAAUCAAAUAAAUUGUUUAUUUUUUUGCUUUCUUAGGAU